AGCGAACGCUGACGGCAGGCUUAACACAUGCAAGUCGAACGCCCCGCAAGGGGAGUGGCAGACGGGUGAGUAACACGUGGGAACGUACCCUUUGGUUCGGAAUAACUUGGGGAAACUCAAGCUAAUACCGGAUAAGCCCUUAUGGGGGAAGGUUUACUGCCGAAGGAUCGGCCCGCGUCUGAUUAGCUAGUUGGUGAGGUAAUGGCUCACCAAGGCGACGAUCAGUAGCUGGUCUGAGAGGAUGAUCAGCCACACUGGGACUGAGACACGGCCCAGACUCCUACGGGAGGCAGCAGUGGGGAAUAUUGGACAAUGGGGGCAACCCUGAUCCAGCCAUGCCGCGUGAGUGAUGAAAGCCUUAGGGUUGUAAAGCUCUUUUACCCGGGACGAUAAUGACUGUACCGGGAGAAUAAGCCCCGGCUAACUUCGUGCCAGCAGCCGCCGUAA
rnacentral:rRNA from 1 species